rnacentral:rRNA from 1 species
UACGAAGGGUGCAAGCGUUGCUCGGAAUCAUUGGGCGUAAAGCGCACGUAGGCGGCUUCGCAAGUCGGAUGUGAAAUACCUCGGCUCAACCAAGGACGUGCAUCCGAAACUGUGAGGCUUGAGUACUGAAGAGGAUCGCGGAAUUCCCGGUGUAGAGGUGAAAUUCGUAGAUAUCGGGAGGAACACCAGUGGCGAAGGCGGCGAUCUGGGCAGAUACUGACGCUGAGGUGCGAAAGCGUGGGGAGCAAACAGG